GAGGAAUAUUGGGCAAUGCCCGCAAGGGUGACCCAGCAACGCCGCGUGGAGGAUGAAUGUCGUAAGAUUGUAAACUCCUGUUAGAGGGGAAGAAUAGUACCGGUUGGACCGGUAUAUGACUGUACCCUCAGAGAAAGCCCCGGCUAACUACGUGCCAGCAGCCGCGGUAAUACGUAGGCAGCAAGCGUUGUUCGGAGUUACUGGUCGUAAAUAGGGCGUAGGCGGUUUUCUAAGUUCGGUGUGAAAUCUCCCGGCUUAACUGGGAGGGUGCGCCGAAGACUGGGAAGCUGGAGUGUGGGAAAGGCAGGCGGAAUUCCUGGUGUAGCGGUGAAAUGCGUAGAUAUCAGGAGGAACACCGGCGGUGUAGACGGCUUGCUAGACCAUAACUGACGCUGAGGCACGAAAGCGUGGGUAGCAAA
rnacentral:rRNA from 1 species